rnacentral:rRNA from 1 species
GAUGAACGCUAGCGGCAGGCCUAACACAUGCAAGUCGAGGGGCAUCAUGGCGUAGCAAUACGCUGAUGGCGACCGGCGCACGGGUGCGUAACGCGUAUGGAACCUACCCACCGCAGGGGGAUAACCCGCCGAAAGGCGGACUAAUACCCCAUGGUUCCCCGACCCUGCCUGGGGUUGGGGUAAAGCCUACGGGCGGCGGUGGAUGGCCCUGCGUGCCAUUAGCUGGCUGGUGGGGUAACGGCCUACCAGGGCUACGAUGGGUAGCUGGCGUGAGAGCGCGACCAGCCACACUGGAACUGAGACACGGUCCAGACUCCUACGGGAGGCAGCAGUAGGGAAUAUUGGACAAUGGAGGCAACUCUGAUCCAGCCAUGCCGCGUGGAGGAUGACUGCCCUCUGGGUUGUAAACUCCUUUUGUACAGGAAGAAACCUCCUCAUUUAUGAGUGAGCUGACGGUACUGUAAGAAUAAGCACCGGCUAACUCCGUGCCAGCAGCCG